GGUAAAUGCACUUACAGUGUUGUGUAGCUAUCACCACUACCUGUUCCCAAAACAACUUCCUCAUUACCAACACAACUUUGUCCUAUUAAACAAUAACUCCCCUUCUCCCCUUCCCCGGCCCCUGGCGACCACCAUUCUACUUUCUGUCUCUGAAUUUGCCCAGUCUAGGGACCUCAGGCGGGUGGAAUGACACAGCGUUUGUAGGGACCUCAGGCGGGUGGAAUGACACAGUGUUUGUAGGGACCUCAGGCAGGUGGAAUGACAUAGUGUUUGUAGGGACCUCAGGCAGGCGGAAUGACACAGUGUAGGGACCUCAGGCGGGUGGAAUGACACAGUGUAGGGACCUCACGCAGGUGGAAUGACACAGUGUUUGUAGGGACCUCAGUCGGGUGGAAUGACAGUGUUUGUAGGGACCUCAGGCGGGUGGAAUGACAGUGUUUGUAGGGACCUCACGCAGGUGGAAUGACACAACGUUUGUAGGGACCUCAGGCGGGUGGAAUGACACAGCGUUUGUAGGGACCUCAGGUGGGUGGAAUGACACAGUGUAGGGACCUCAGGUGGGUGGAAUGACACAGUGUAGGGACCUCACGUGGGUGGAAUGACACAGUGUAGGGACCUCAGGCGGGUGGAAUGACACAGUGUUUGUAGGGACCUCACACGGGUGGAAUGACACAGUGUUUGCAGGGACCUCACGUGGGUGGAAUGACACAGUGUAGGGACCUCAGGCGGGUGGAAUGACACAGCGUUUGUAGGGACCUCAGGUGGGUGGAAUGACACAGUGUAGGGACCUCAGGCGGGUGGAAUGACACAGUGUUUGUAGGGACCUCAGGCGGGUGGAAUGACACAGUGUUUGUAGGGACCUCAGGCAGGUGGAAUGACACAGUGUAGGGACCUCAGGCGGGUGGGAUGACACAGUGUAGGGACCUCACGCAGGUGGAAUGACACAGUGUAGGGACCUCAGUCGGGUGGGAUGACGCAGUGUAGGGACCUCAGGCGGGUGGAAUGACACAGUGUUUGUAGGGACCUCACACGGGUGGAAUGACACAGUGUUUGUAGGGUCCUCAGGCGGGUGGAAUGACACAGUGUUUGUAGGGACCUCAGUCGGGUGGGAUGACACAGUGUAGGGACCUCAGGCGGGUGGAAUGACACAGUGUUUGUAGGGAUCUCACACGGGUGGAAUGACAGUGUUUGUAGGGACCUCACGCGGGUGGAAUUACACAGUGUAGGGACCUCACGUGGGUGGAAUGACACAGUGUUUGUAGGGACCUGACGUGGGUGGAAUGACACAGUAUAGGGACCUCACGCGGGUGGAAUGACACAGUGUUUGUAGGGACCUGACGUGGGUGGAAUGACACAGUGUAGGGACCUCACACAGGUGGAAUGACACAGUGUAGGGACCUCACGCGGGUGGAGUGACACAGUGUAGGGACCUCAGGCAGGUGGAAUGACACAGUGUAGGGACCUCACGUGGGUGGAGUGACACAGUGUAGGGACCUCACGCGGGUGGAAUGACACAGUGUUUGUGGGGACCUCACGUGGGUGGAAGGACAUAAUGACAUAGUGUUUGUCCACUUGUGUCUGGCAUAUUUCACUACACAUGAUGUUUCAAAGGCUCAGCCAUAUUGUAGCAUAUGUCAGAAUUUCAUUCCUUUUUUUGGCAGAAUUAGAUGUGGAUUUUUGAUGUAGGAGGUACGUUUCUAACCUACUUUUGUUUAUUUAAAAAAUUAUUGCUGGGCACAGUAUCUCACGCCUGUAAUCCCAGCACUUUGGGAGGCUGAGGUGAGUGGAUCACCUGAGGUCAGGAGUUGGGAGAUCAGCGUGGCCAACAUGGUGAAACCCCGUUGCUACUAAAAAUACAAAAAUUUGCUGGGCACAGUGGUGCAUACCUGUAAUCUCAGCUACUCAGGAGGCUGAGGCAGGAGAAUCACUUGAACCCGGGAGGUGGAGGAGGUUGCAGUGGGCCAAGAUUGCGCCACUGUGCUCCAGCCUGGGCAACAUAGCGAGACCCUGUCUUUACAAAAAGUGAAACAGGAAUCUCAGGGUUGUGUGUGUUUCUAAUAAAUGUUAAUAGAAGAUGAAUUUCAGGAACAAGUUAUUGGGAGAGAAACAUUAGCAGCUUUGUUUUGCUAAUAUGAUGGGCUAGGUUCAAGGAUCAUUUCCUAAAGUUUGAGAUGUGCUUUUCCCCUUUUGAUACCAGCUCUCAGAGUGAUGAUCGUUUCUGUAUAGGCAAGGGAAAUACUUGUCACUGCCUUCUUGCUAGUUUGACUGACUCUGAAAUACUUAAAGAUAGUUGUAUUUGUUGUUGCAUGUCUAGAUCUGCCACGGGGGAGAGGCCAGAGAGGCUUUGCUGACGUGCAGGGAGUGACCGGGGGAAUGUCCCAGCCUCACUUUGCAGGUGCAGUUGAGAAGGCACCAUGAGUAAAGGCGCUGCCCCACGCACCCAGGGUCCUAAGGCUUCGGCAGUUAAGAGUUCAUCCGUUGCCAUUUGAUGAGGGCUCUGGGAGUCAAAAGGCUUCCCUGAACAAGGAACCCUUGAGCUCAGAUGCAAAUGAGGGAUGGGCCUGGACCGGGAUGGGGGAUGGGAGGAGCCUGCAAAGGGGAGAGAGGGUGGGAGGACUUGACAUGGGAGAAGAACAGGCUGGGGCAAUGGGGUGUGAAAGCAAAGGGAGUAAGAUGAGCAUUUUGGUCUUUACUAAGGGCAGUGAGGAUUCAAAACAGCAUGGUUGGAUUUGAGUUUAAAAAAUAGAACUCACUGGCUGCAGUGUGCGGAGGUGGGCUGGAAUCCAUUUUUGCUCAGUUGGGGAGAGUGUAUUUUUAAUUUUCCAAAGUGACUAUGUUGGUGAUUGUGUCAGAGCCCCUGGCCUGUCGUUGGUGGUUAUAAAGCGCUUUUGAUUUGCCUGUAAAUCAGAGUCUACCAUGGCUCACAUAGUUAUUUGCAAAAAGAACUUCUAAGCAUGAAAUUGAGCAUAAAAUUGCCUAGGAGUAAUUCAGUUUGCUUAAUAUGUUUGAGAGAAAGGUUAAUAUAUUCAGUCAGACAGCCUUUUGUUUUUGGAUAAAGACGUUCUCAUUUUUCAGCAUGGCAUGAGGGAAAUAGCCUGGAAUAUUCUCAGUAAAUCAGAUUUUCCUUGAAAAGAGUGGCCCUACCUCUCAUAGACUUCAACGGCAGUGGUUUAAUAUGGUUCCCAAAUUCUGAAGUCUUCUGAAAUUUGUUAGACAAAGCAAGACUUAACGAUCACAGCAUGAUGCAAAUACUAAUUUUCCGAGUAAAACACAAUAAAAGAUUGACCGUUUCUCUCUCAUGUCAUUUACGUAUGUCUAUGACUGUGAGAACUAAAGUGGCCGUAUUUACAGUAAGGUAACUAUUGUUAAUGCUGAUGUAUUCUUGAGAAAUAAAAAGAGUGAAUGUUAAGUAUUCCUCAUCACAAAAAGGAGUUAUGUGGGCUAAUACAUUUGUUAAUUAGCUAAAUUUAAUUGUUCCACAAUGUAUGUAUACUUUAGACAUCAUGUUGUACAUGAUACAUACUUAUCUGUCAAUUGUUUUUUUUUUUUUUUUGAGACAGAAUCUCACACUGUCACCCGGGCUGGAGUGCAGUGGCUUGAUCUCAGCUCACUGCAGCCUCUGCCUCCCAGGUGCACACGAUUCUCCUGCCUCAGUCCCCCGAGUAGCUGGGAUUACAGGUGCACACCACC
rnacentral:lncRNA from 10 species